rnacentral:lncRNA from 1 species
CAUGGGAUCAGCUGUGUGCUCCCAGCUUUCCCAGGGCAUUCCCGUGGGAAAUGUGUGUGUUCCCGGCAUUCCCAUGGGAUCAGCUGUGUGCUCCCGGCUUUCCCAGAGCAUUCCCAUGGAAUUGGCUUUGUGUACUCCAUGGGAUCUGCUGUGCGUAUUCCGGGCACUCCCAUGGGAUCCACUGUGUGUUCCCGGCAUUUCUGCAGCUUUCCAUGGGAUCGGCUUUGUGUUCCCAGCAUUCCCAUGGGAUCAGCCGUGUGUGUUCCCAGAGCAUUCCCAUGGGAUCAGCUGCGUGUUCCCCGCUUUCCCAGAGCAUUCCCAUGGGAUUGGCUGUGUGUUCCCGGCAUUUCUGCAGCUUUCCAUGGGAUCUGCUGUGUGUUCCCGGCUUUCCCAGAGCAUUCCCAUGGGAUCUGCUCUGUGUGUUCCCGGCAUUUCUGCAGCUUUCCAUGGGAUCAGCUGCGUGUUCCCAUCUUUCCCAGAGCAUUCCCGUGGGAAAUGUGUGUGUCCCGGCAUUCCCAUGGGAUCAGCUGCGUGUUCCUGGCUUUCCCAGAGCAUUCCCAUGGAAUUGGCUUUGUGUAUUCCAUGGGAUCUGCUGUGCAUAUUCCAGGCACUCCCAUGGGAACCAUUGUGUGUUUUUGGCAUUCCCAGAGCAUUCCCAUGAGAUCGGCUCUGUGUGUUCCCAGCAUUUCUGCAGCUUUCCAUGGAAUUGUCUGCAUGUUCCUGGCAUUCCCAGAGCAUUCCCGUGGCGUUGGCUUUGUGUGUUCCCAGCAUUUCCAUGGGAUCUGCUGUGCGUAUUCCCAGCUUUCCGUGGAAUUGUCUGCGUGUUCCUGGCAUUCCCAGAGCAUUCCUCUCGGAUCGGCCGUGUGUGCUCCCGGCUUUCCCAGGGCAUUCCCGUGGGGAAUGUGUGUGUUCCGGCGUUCCCAUGGGAUCUGCUGCGUGUUCCUGGCAUUCCCAGAGCACUCUUGUGGGAAAUGUGUGUGUGCCGGCAUUCCCAUGGGAUCCGCUGUGUGUUCCUGGCUUUCCCAGAGCAUUCCCAUGGGAUCUGCUGCGUGUUCCUGGCAUUCCCAGGGCAUUCCUGUGGGAUCGGCUCUGUGUGUUCCCGGCAUUUCUGCAGCUUUCCAUGGGAUCGGGUUUGUGUUCCCAGCAUUCCCAUGGGAUCAGCCGUGUGUGUUCCCAGAGCAUUCCCAUGGGAUCCACUGCGUGUUCCCAGAGCAUUCCCAUGGGAUCCACUGCGUGUUCCCGGCAUUUCUGCAGCUUUCCAUGGGAUCUGCUGUGUGUUCCUGGCUUUCCCAGAGCGUUCCCAUGGGAAAUGUGUGUGUUCCCGGCAUUCCCAUGGGAUCUGCUGCGUGUUCCUGGCUUUCCCAGAGCAUUCCCGUGGGAUUGGCUGUGUGUUCCCAGCAUUCCCAUGGGAUCAGCUGCGUGCUCCCGGCAUUUCCAGAGAAUUCCCAUGGGAUCCACUGUGUGUCCCCGGCAUUUCUGCAGCUUUCCAUGGGAUCGGGUUUGUGUUCCCAGCAUUCCCAUGGGAUCAGCCCUGUGUGUUCCCAGAGCAUUCCCAUAGGAUCAGCUGUGUGUAUUCCCAGCUUUCCUGUGGGAUCAGCUGUGGUUCCCGGCAUUCCCAUGGGAUCGGCUCUGUGUGUUCCCGGCAUUUCUGCAGCUUUCCAUGGGAUCCGCUGUGUGUUCCCUGCAUUCCCAGAGCAUUCCCAUGGGAAAUGUGUGUGUGCCGGCAUUCCCAUGGGGUCAGCUGUGUGUCCCCCGCAUUCCCAGAGCAUUCCCAUGGGAUCGGCUCUGUGUGUCCUGCCGUUCCCAUGGGAUCAGCUAUGUGUGUUCCCAGCAUUCCCAGAGCAUUGCCAUGGGAUCCACUGCGUGUUCCCAGCAUUUCUGCAGCUUUCCAUGGGAUCGGCUGUGGUUCCCAGCAUUCCCAUGGGAUCAGCUCUGUGUCUUCCUGGCAUUUCUGCAGAUUUCCAUGGGAUCAGCUGUGUGUUCCCGGCACUCCCAUGGGAUCAACUAUGUGUUUCUGGUAUUCCCAGAGUGUUCCCAUGGGAUCAGCUCUGUGUGUUCCUGGCAUUCCCAUGGGAUCGGCUGUGGUUCCCAGCACUCCCAGAGCAUUCCCGUGGGAUCAGCUGUGUGCAUUCCCAGCUUUCCCGUGGGAUCAGCUGUGGUUCCCAGCAUUCUCAUGGGAUCGGCUCUGUGCCUUCCUGGCAUUUCUGCAGCUUUCCAUGGGAUCCGCUGUGGUUCCUUGCAUUCCCAGAGCAUUCCCAUGGGAAAUGUGUGUGUGCUGGCAUUCCCAUGGGAUCAGCUGCGUGUUUCCGGCAUUCCCAGAGCAUUCCCAUGGGAUUGGCUGUGUGUUCCCGGCAUUUCUGCAGCUUUCCAUGGAAUUGUCUGCAUGUUCCUGGCAUUCCCAGAGCAUUCCCGUGGGAAAUGUGUGUUUGCCGGCAUUCCCAUGGGAUCAGCUGUGUGUUCCCGGCUUUCCCAGAGCAUUCCCGUGGGAUCGGCUCUGUGUGUUCCUGGCAUUUCUGCAGCUUUCCAUGGAAUUGUCUGCAUGUUCCUGGCAUUCCCAGAGC